CACGUGGCGGGGAGCUUUGCCCUUAGGAGACGCGGUUUUAGAGGCACCUCGGGGUAAAGAAUUAAAUAGUGAUGGACUGUAUACCUUUGUGAAUCGUAACAUGAAAUCAGAUCGCUGGAGACGGAAGCUUUUUGUAUUUGGAGUAAGGAGCAAGUGUGAGCGGACAGAGGAGACAAUACUUGCUUCCCUUCCCCUUGGCGACGUCAUCGGGCGGCGUCACUCAGAUGGACGACAAUGGGGUACACGUGUCGUUCGGAAGUUGGCUCGAGUUGCAAGAAUCCAACGCUUUUAUGACAGCAUCCCUUGAUAUAAGAUUGCGUGACUUUUACAACCCCACGUGUGCUUUAGGGAAGCCCUGAGUGUAC